rnacentral:rRNA from 1 species
CCUACGAGAGGCAGCAGUGGGGAAUAUUGCACAAUGGGGGAAACCCUGAUGCAGCGACGCCGCGUGAGUGAAGAAGUAUUUCGGUACGUAACGUUCUAUCAUCAGGGAAGAAAAUGACGGUACCUGACUAAGAAGCCCCGUCUAAAUCCGUGACAGCAGCCUCGGUAAUCCGUAGGGUGCAAGCGUUAUCCGGAUUUACUGGGUGUAAAGGGAGCGUAGACGUCAGAGCAAGUCUGGAGUGAAAUCCCAUGGCUUAACAAUGGAACUGCUUUGGAAACUGUGCAGCUAGAGUGCAGGAGAGGUAAGCGGAAUUCCUAGUGUAGCGGUGAAAUGCGUAGAUAUUAGGAGGAACACCAGUGGCGAAGGCGGCUUACUGGACUGUAACUGACGUUGAGGCUCGAAAGCGUGGGGAGCAAACAGGAUUAGAUACCCUUGUAGGC